GACACACUAUUAAGGAAAGUUAUACUAAUAAUAAGAACACAAUACACAUUACCAUCUUUUAAAUACAAUUAGAUAUUACUAACGCAACAAGCAACAGAACUGAAUAACAGUAAAGGACACUAAGCUGCACUAUUAAGACAAUUACAUAUUUCUAACACAUUAAGUAAUACAACUGUGUAACAAUAAAGGACACUAUGUUACACUAUUAAGAUACUCCUAACACAUCAAGCAAUACAACUGAAUAACAGUAAAGGACACUAUGCUACACUACUAAGGUAGUGUAAACACAAACUCUUACCACAACAAGUGAUGUACUGGGCUAUAAGGAAUGAA